GGACCCGCACAAGCAGUGGAGCAUGUGGUUUAAUUCGAAGAUACGCGCAGAACCUUACCAACACUUGACAUGUUCGUCGCGAGACCAAGAGAUUGGUUUCUUCAUUUAGUUGGACGAAACACAGGUGCUGCAUGGCUGUCGUCAGCUCGUGUCGUGAGAUGUUGGGUUAAGUCCCGCAACGAGCGCAACCCCCUACUUUUAGUUGCCACCAUUUAGUUGGGCACUUUAAAAGAACUGCCAGUGAUAAGCUGGAGGAAGGUGGGGAUGACGUCAAGUCCUCAUGGCCCUUACGUGUUGGGCUACACACGUGCUACAAUGGCACUUACAAUGGGAAGCAAAGAGGCGACUCCUAGCUAAUCCCAAAAAUGUGUCUCAGUUCGGAUUGCACUCUGCAACUCGAGUGCAUG
rnacentral:rRNA from 1 species